rnacentral:rRNA from 1 species
CUGGGUGUGGGGGGUUUUUACUCCCCCCGUGCCGAAGCUAACGCAUUAAGCGAUCCNCCUGGGGAGUACGGUCGCAAGNCUGAAACUCAAAGGAAUUGNACGGGGGCCCGCACAANCGGUGGAGCAUGUGGUUCAAUUCGACGCAACGCGAAGAACCUUACCGGGGUUUGAACUGUAUGGGACAGCUCUAGAGAUAGAGUUUUCCUUCGGGACCCAUAUAGAGGUGCUGCAUGGCUGUCGUCAGCUCGUGUCGUGAGAUGUUGGGUUAAGUCCCGCAACGAGCGCAACCCUCGCCUCCUGUUGCCAACAGAUAAUGCUGGGCACUCUGGAGAGACUGCCGGUGACAAACCGGAGGAAGGUGGGGAUGACGUCAAGUCCUCAUGGCCUUUGUGCCCCGGGCUACACACGUGCUACAAUGGUCGGUACAAAGGGUUGCAAUACCGUGAGGUGGAGCUAAUCCCAAAAAACCGAUCCCAGUUCGGAUUGGAGUCUGCAACUCGACUCCAUGAAGCUGGAAUCGCUAGUAAUCGCGGAUCAGAAUGCCGCGGUGAAUACGUUCCCCGGGCCUUGUACACACCGCCCGUCACAUCACGAAAGCCGGCUGUACUAGAAGUCGCUGCGCUAACCCGCAAGGGGGGCAGGCGCCCACGGUAUGGUCGGUGAUUGGGGUGAAGUCGUAACAAGGUACC